rnacentral:rRNA from 1 species
UGGGGAAUAUUGGACACUGGGCGAAAGCCUGAUCCAGCCAUGCCGCGUGUGUGAAGAAGGUCUUCGGAUUGUAAAGCACUUUAAGCUGGGCGGAAGGGCAGUAAGCGAAUACCUUGCUGUUUUGACGUUACCGACAGAAUAAGCACCGGCUAACUCUGUGCCAGCAGCCGCGGUAAUACAGAGGGUGCAAGCGUUAAUCGGAAUUACUGGGCGUAAAGCGCGCGUAGGUGGUUCGUUAAGUUGAAUGUGAAAGCCCCGGGCUCAACCUGGGAACUGCAUCCAAAACUGGAGAGCUAGAGUAGGGCAGACGGUGGUGGAAUUUCCUGUGUAGCGGUGAAAUGCGUAGAUAUAGGAAGGAACACCAGUGGCGAAGGCGACCACCUGGGCUCAUACUGACACUGAGGUGCGAAAGCGUGGGGAGCAAACAGG